rnacentral:pre_miRNA from 1 species
AACAUACUCCCUCCAUCCGGAAUUAUUGUCGGAGAAAUGGAUGUAUUUAGAUAUAUUUUAGUUCUAGAUACAUCCAUCUUUGUCCAUUUCUGCGACAAGAAUUUCCAAAUGGAGGGUACAAA